rnacentral:tRNA from 1 species
GGGGAUGUAGCUCAGUGGCACAGCACUUGCCUGCAAGCAUGAGGCCCUGAAUUUGAUUCCCAAUACCCCCA